rnacentral:rRNA from 1 species
UUAAGUUAUUAAGGGCGCACGGUGGAUGCCUUGGCACUAGAAGCCGAUGAAGGACGUUACUAACGACGAUAUGCUUUGGGGAGCUGUAAGUAAGCUUUGAUCCAGAGAUUUCCGAAUGGGGAAACCCAGCAUGAGUUAUGUCAUGUUAUCGAUAUGUGAAUACAUAGCAUAUCAGAAGGCACACCCGGAGAACUGAAACAUCUUAGUACCCGGAGGAAGAGAAAGAAAAUUCGAUUCCCUUAGUAGCGGCGAGCGAAACGGGAAGAGCCCAAACCAACAAGCUUGCUUGUUGGGGUUGUAGGACACUCUAUACGGAGUUAUAAAGGACGACAUUAGACGAAUCAUCUGGAAAGAUGAAUCAAAGAAGGUAAUAAUCCUGUAGUCGAAAAUGUUGUCUCUCUUGAGUGGAUCCUGAGUACGACGGAGCACGUGAAAUUCCGUCGGAAUCUGGGAGGACCAUCUCCUAAGGCUAAAUACUCUCUAGUGACCGAUAGUGAACCAGUACCGUGAGGGAAAGGUGAAAAGCACCCCGGAAGGGGAGUGAAAUAGAACCUGAAACCGUGUGCUUACAAGUAGUCAGAGCCCGUUAAUGGGUGAUGGCGUGCCUUUUGUAGAAUGAACCGGCGAGUUACGAUUUGAUGCAAGGUUAAGCAGUAAAUGUGGAGCCGUAGCGAAAGCGAGUCUGAAUAGGGCGUUUAGUAUUUGGUCGUAGACCCGAAACCAGGUGAUCUACCCUUGGUCAGGUUGAAGUUCAGGUAACACUGAAUGGAGGACCGAACCGACUUACGUUGAAAAGUGAGCGGAUGAACUGAGGGUAGCGGAGAAAUUCCAAUCGAACCUGGAGAUAGCUGGUUCUCUCCGAAAUAGCUUUAGGGCUAGCCUCAAGUGAUGAUUAUUGGAGGUAGAGCACUGUUUGGACGAGGGGCCCCUCUCGGGUUACCGAAUUCAGACAAACUCCGAAUGCCAAUUAAUUUAACUUGGGGAGUCAGAACAUGGGUGAUAAGGUCCGUGUUCGAAAGGGAAACAGCCCAGACCACCAGCUAAGGUCCCAAAAUAUAUGUUAAGUGGAAAAGGAUGUGGCGUUGCCCAGACAACUAGGAUGUUGGCUUAGAAGCAGCCAUCAUUUAAAGAGUGCGUAAUAGCUCACUAGUCGAGUGACACUGCGCCGAAAAUGUACCGGGGCUAAACAUAUUA